rnacentral:tRNA from 1 species
CGCCCUCGUUGCUCAAUGGAUAGAGCACGCGCCUCUAAGCGCGGGACGCAGGUUCGAUUCCUGCCGGGGCAC